GAACUCUGGUAUUGAUUGGUGCUUGCAUCAUGAUUUACAUUUGAGUGAGUGGCGAACUGGUGAGUAACACGUGGGAAACCUGCCCAGAAGCGGGGGAUAACACCUGGAAACAGAUGCUAAUACCGCAUAACAACUUGGACCGCAUGGUCCGAGCUUGAAAGAUGGCUUCGGCUAUCACUUUUGGAUGGUCCCGCGGCGUAUUAGCUAGAUGGUGGGGUAACGGCUCACCAUGGCAAUGAUACGUAGCCGACCUGAGAGGGUAAUCGGCCACAUUGGGACUGAGACACGGCCCAAACUCCUACGGGAGGCAGCAGUAGGGAAUCUUCCACAAUGGACGAAAGUCUGAUGGAGCAACGCCGCGUGAGUGAAGAAGGGUUUCGGCUCGUAAAACUCUGUUGUUAAAGAAGAACAUAUCUGAGAGUAACUGUUCAGGUAUUGACGGUAUUUAACCAGAAAGCCACGGCUAACUACGUGCCAGCAGCCGCGGUAAUACGUAGGUGGCAAGCGUUGUCCGGAUUUAUUGGGCGUAAAGCGAGCGCAGGCGGUUUUUUAAGUCUGAUGUGAAAGCCUUCGGCUCAACCGAAGAAGUGCAUCGGAAACUGGGAAACUUGAGUGCAGAAGAGGACAGUGGAACUCCAUGUGUAGCGGUGAAAUGCGUAGAUAUAUGGAAGAACACCAGUGGCGAAGGCGGCUGUCUGGUCUGUAACUGACGCUGAGGCUCGAAAGUAUGGGUAGCAAACAGGAUUAGAUACCCUGGUAGUCCAUACCGUAAACGAUGAAUGCUAAGUGUUGGAGGGUUUCCGCCCUUCAGUGCUGCAGCUAACGCAUUAAGCAUUCCGCCUGGGGAGUACGGCCGCAAGGCUGAAACUCAAAGGAAUUGACGGGGGCCCGCACAAGCGGUGGAGCAUGUGGUUUAAUUCGAAGCUACGCGAAGAACCUUACCAGGUCUUGACAUACUAUGCAAAUCUAAGAGAUUAGACGUUCCCUUCGGGGACAUGGAUACAGGUGGUGCAUGGUUGUCGUCAGCUCGUGUCGUGAGAUGUUGGGUUAAGUCCCGCAACGAGCGCAACCCUUAUUAUCAGUUGCCAGCAUUAAGUUGGGCACUCUGGUGAGACUGCCGGUGACAAACCGGAGGAAGGUGGGGAUGACGUCAAAUCAUCAUGCCCCUUAUGACCUGGGCUACACACGUGCUACAAUGGAUGGUACAACGAGUUGCGAACUCGCGAGAGUAAGCUAAUCUCUUAAAGCCAUUCUCAGUUCGGAUUGUAGGCUGCAACUCGCCUACAUGAAGUCGGAA
rnacentral:rRNA from 2 species